rnacentral:rRNA from 1 species
AUUGAACGCUGGCGGCAGGCUUAACACAUGCAAGUCGAGCGGAGAUGAGGUGCUUGCACCUUAUCUUAGCGGCGGACGGGUGAGUAAUGCUUAGGAAUCUGCCUAUUAGUGGGGGACAACAUUCCGAAAGGAAUGCUAAUACCGCAUACAUCCUACGGGAGAAAGCAGGGGAUCUUCGGACCUUGCGCUAAUAGAUGAGCCUAAGUCGGAUUAGCUAGUGGGUGGGGUAAAGGCCUACCAAGGCGACGAUCUGUAGCGGGUCUGAGAGGAUGAUCCGCCACACUGGGACGGAGACACGGCCCAGAGUCCUACGGGAGGCAGCAGUGGGGAAUAUUGGACAAUGGGGGGAACCCUGAUCCAGUCAUGCCGCGUGUGUGAAGAAGGCCUUAUGGUUGUAAAGCACUUUAAGCGAGGAGGAGGCUCUUUUGGUUAAUACCCAAGAUGAGUGGACGUUACUCGCAGAAUAAGCACCGGCUAACUCUGUGCCAGCAGCCGCCGCCG